rnacentral:rRNA from 1 species
AACGAACGCUGGCGGCAGGCUUAACACAUGCAAGUCGAACGGUUGUAGCAAUACAGCAGUGGCAGACGGGUGAGUAACACGUGGGAACCUUCCUAGGGGUACGGAACAACUCAGGGAAACUUGAGCUAAUACCGUAUACGUCCGUGAGGAGAAAGAUUUAUCGCCCUUAGACGGGCCCGCGUCGGAUUAGCUAGUUGGUGGGGUAACGGCCUACCAAGGCGACGAUCCGUAGCUGAUCUUAGAGGAUGAUCAGCCACACUGGGACUGAGACACGGCCCAGACUCCUACGGGAGGCAGCAGUGGGGAAUCUUGGACAAUGGGCGCAAGCCUGAUCCAGCCAUGCCGCGUGAGUGAAGAAGGUCUUCGGAUUGUAAAGCUCUUUUGCCAGGGACGAUAAUGACGGUACCUGGAGAAUAAGCCCCGGCAAACUUCGUGCCAGCAGCCGCGGUAAU